GAAACAGCAAGUAUGGCAGAUUUGUUACCUCAAACUCUGGGCUCUCCAUCUUACACAUUUUUCCUUUUAGCUCCAAAGUUGAACCUGAUGUUACCAUUUUCUUAUUUUCACUAAGGGUGCUUACACUUUAAAGUGUGGCUGAGAAAAGGUAAAACUCUUACUCACAAAUUCACAUGCUGUCUCUACAAUAAAUUCCCAACAAAAGCUUGUAAAUUACCUCUACAUCAGAAUUAAGCAUUCUACAAGAAGCCAAAAAUUAACGUAAACUAAAAA